rnacentral:rRNA from 1 species
GAUGAACGCUGGCGGCGUGCUUAACACAUGCAAGUCGAGCGAAGCACUUAAGUUUGAUUCUUCGGAUGAAGACUUUUGUGACUGAGCGGCGGACGGGUGAGUAACGCGUGGGUAACCUGCCUCAUACAGGGGGAUAACAGUUAGAAAUGACUGCUAAUACCGCAUAAGACCACGGUACCGCAUGGUACAGUGGUAAAAACUCCGGUGGUAUGAGAUGGACCCGCGUCUGAUUAGGUAGUUGGUGGGGUAACGGCCUACCAAGCCGACGAUCAGUAGCCGACCUGAGAGGGUGACCGGCCACAUUGGGACUGAGACACGGCCCAGACUCCUACGGGAGGCAGCAGUGGGGAAUAUUGCACAAUGGAGGAAACUCUGAUGCAGCGACGCCGCGUGAAGGAUGAAGUAUUUCGGUAUGUAAACUUCUAUCAGCAGGGAAGAAAAUGACGGU